rnacentral:rRNA from 1 species
GGGUUGUGAGGUUAAGCGACUAAGCGUACACGGUGGAUGCCCUGGCAGUCAGAGGCGAUGAAGGGCGUGCUAAUCUGCGAUAAGCGCCGGUAAGGUGAUAUGAACCGUUAUAACCGGCGAUACCCGAAUGGGGAAACCCAGUGUGACUCGUCACACUAUCAUUAACUGAAUCCAUAGGUUAAUGAGGCGAACCGGGGGAACUGAAACAUCUAAGUACCCCGAGGAAAAGAAAUCAACCGAGAUUCCCCCAGUAGCGGCGAGCGAACGGGGAGGAGCCCAGAGCCUGAAUCAGCAUGUGUGUUAGUGGAAGCGUCUGGAAAGGCGCGCGAUACAGGGUGACAGCCCCGUACACAAAAGCGCAUGUGCUGUGAGCUCGAUGAGUAGGGCGGGACACGUGGUAUCCUGUCUGAAUAUGGGGGGACCAUCCUCCAAGGCUAAAUACUCCUGACUGACCGAUAGUGAACCAGUACCGUGAGGGAAAGGCGAAAAGAACCCCGGCGAGGGGAGUGAAAAAGAACCUGAAACCGUGUACGUACAAGCAGUGGGAGCACAGGUUUACCUGUGUGACUGCGUACCUUUUGUAUAAUGGGUCAGCGACUUAUAUUCUGUAGCAAGGUUAACCGUAUAGGGGAGCCGGAGGGAAACCGAGUCUUAA